GGGGACGUAGCUCAGCCCGGUUAGAGCACCUGCCUUUUAAGCAGGGUGUCGGGGGUUCAAAUCCCCUCGUCCCCA
rnacentral:tRNA from 1 species